UGCUCCAUGGCUUAGUUGGCUAUAGUGUCCAGCUUUUAAUCGGAAGGUCGAGAGUUCGAGCUUCUCUGGGGCAG
rnacentral:tRNA from 1 species